rnacentral:rRNA from 1 species
UACGUAGGUGGCAAGCGUUGUCCGGAAUCACUGGGCGUAAAGCGCGCGCAGGCGGCGAUCUACGUCUGGGGUGAAAGCCCGGAGCUCAACUCCGGGACUGCCUUGGAUACGGGAUCGCUUGAGGAUUGGAGAGGCAAGGGGAAUUCCACGUGUAGCGGUGAAAUGCGUAGAGAUGUGGAGGAACACCUGUGGCGAAGGCGCCUUGCUGGCCAAUUACUGACGCUGAGGCGCGAAAGCGUGGGAAGCAAACAGG